GCCCCCAUCUCUUCCCCACGCCCACCUUACCCAAUCAUCUCACGAAAGGCAUGCCGCCGACAGCGCUGGAAUCGAUCCCCAUCUUCUCCGAUGCCGACCUCGGCAAGCAUGCCGGCGACGCAUCUCCUGCCCCCUCCUAUGCGCAUUAGUCCCAGCGCCCAACAUCUCCACACCCCCUCCUCCUCGCCAUCUCCUCCACCCCCUUCCCCGUCUCCUGCCGCUGACCGCCACCGGCUAUCACUGAAGCGGCGGCGCUUCCGCAUACUCCUCCCCCUCCUUCCCCACUGUCACUGAAGCGCCCCAUGUGGAGGUGCUAUGCUUGGCUACUGCCUCUCCUUCCCAAUCCUCAUCCCUCCCACCCGUGCCGCCUCCAAAAUUCAAUUUUUUUUGUUACCCAGAGUUCAAUUCGUGCGCCCAGGUCGAACUCUCUAGAAGCCAGUCUUGUAGAGUUGCAGUUCAAUAUAAAUCAAACGGGUAGGCAGAUGGGACUCAAGCUGCUUGCACUUCACCUCAAGAGCCACAUGCUCGUCACGCCAAUCUGGAGCUGUUCCAAGGAAAGGAGCAGUUCUAUCAAGGAUGGAUAUGAUAAUAUGUAUUGGAGAAUGCUCGUCGUCCUGGUAAUUUCGGAGAUCUGGCAUCAGCACAAUCGUCUUGUCUUUCAAAUUUUGUAGUUAUCGGCUCCAACGCUCGCAUGUCUUGCGAUUGCAAAGCCAAUGUAAGGAGUCUGAUGCGCCUGCUCGCGUGCAUUCCUUCAGUGCCUCUCCUCUGGCAUCAACCUGAGUGACCACGACAAUCGCUGAAUGUGAGGUGAUCAUUGCUUUCAGUUCAUUUUUGUGUUUAUACUGAAGUGAUUUGGUGUCUGUUUUGCAGGAUAGUUUAACUUGCGAGAAAAUACUAUUGCAUUUAAAAAAAGCGAUUAUGCUUCAUCUUAUAAGCAAUAUUGCAUUUCAAUAAAUGUUUCUCACUAAGGAAGGUAAUUAUAAUAAGCAUAAGAAUCAGCAUGUGAUUGUUUUUAGGAUAACUGAAAUAUGCAAAAGAAAAUGCCAGAUGAUCCUGAUCUUACUAAGCACAGAGUUCUUGGCUUAAGUACUAGGUAGUAGGUGACUGGUUUUCAUGGCGUUACAGCCAAAUCUUGCUUUAUGUAAUGUAAGAAGAGGCUGAAAGUUUGUUCUAUUAAGCAGCAAUCUAAUGAUAUAUAUACAGCAAAGGUUGCCUGCAAGAAGCAUUGCCUUCUGUACGUUGAGCAUUUGUUUGUAUAUCUAAGCUCAAUAAAUUGCAUUUCACAAUGACAAUUCACAUAUGUUGUUAGUCGUUCAGCUUAGCAAUUCCAGAAGUUGUAGUUCCAGCCAAACAUCUAAAUACUGAGCUCAAAUUGCAGAAAAUACUGGGUGUUCAGUACUCGAUUUUGGACUAUAUGUUCACCUAUCUAUAGGGUGCCAUGAUCUUCAUCUAAAGGAUCUUUUUUGCUAACACAUACCUUGAUGUCGACAUCGACAGUAGCAGAGAUAAUAUACGCCUUAUAAUCUUGUAAACAUAUGUGUAGAUCAGUACAAGUACUUUCAGUGUUCCUCCUUGUGAAUUAGUCAUUCAAGCUGUGGAUGGUCAGGAGCCGCCUGAGCCCUGCAAAGAUAAUGUUCAAGCUACAACUUGAGUCAGAAUUUGUACGGAUACAUGAAAAUGUGAUGUAUGCCGAGAAAAUGUCUGUUUGCUAUACAAUUCAAUUUUUAGCUUGCAAUUGCAGUUAGAAGUUCAAACCGCAACUCAAGUAUGUUGUUAAUUUACAGUGAGCAUCCACUUGUAGAAGAUUUGUGCCUGGAUGUGCUAAUUGACAGUGAAAUGUAGAAAUAAGUUGCAACUUUGUAAUAUCCAUCUGAUAUGUGAAACAAGAAUUGUUACUAAUUCACAACAUGUA